rnacentral:rRNA from 1 species
GACAGAGGGUGCAAACGUUGUUCGGAAUUACUGGGCGUAAAGCGCGUGUAGGCGGCUCUGCAAGUCGGGUGUGAAAUCCCACGGCUCAACCAUGGAAGUGCACUCGAAACUGCAGGGCUAGAGUCCUGGAGAGGAAGGUGGAAUGCUUGGUGUAGAGGUGAAAUUCGUAGAUAUCGGGAGGAACACCGGUGGCGAAGGCGGCGACCUGGGUAGAUACUGACGCUGAGGUGCGAAAGCGUGGGGAGCAAACAGG